rnacentral:piRNA from 1 species
UGUUGGGAUGGGAUAAAGGAAACAGAGGA